GUGGCAGCAAGUCACUGUCAAUAAGUGAGUCAUUGUGUUUGAACUGAAUCAUUUAAACGGGUGAUUCUUUCAGGGAACAAAACAGUGUCCUGUUGCCCAGCGAGGCAAAACAGCACUGUGGCUGUGUUUAAAAUUAUUUUUGUUGGAGAAAUAGAGCCAAAACAGGAAAUAUGGUGUCUAAAACCUCCAUAAAACCGGAUGCACUGCUCUGGUCCACGCAGAAAAGCGAGAUGAGGAGGAGGAAUGAGAGAAGAGGAGAUUUACGUAGAGGUUUGAGGAUCAGACGUCAUCCACCACAUCACAAUGACGGCAGACUCCACGGCAACCAGCAAUUUUAAGCGACUGAGAAAGUCACAGAGGGAACAUAGAAACAUAAUUAGAAUAAAUUUUCAGCCACUCUGAAACUCA
ensembl:lncRNA